AGCCGAGCGGUAGGUUUCCUUCGGGAAACUGAGAGCGGCGCACGGGUGCGGAACACGUGUGCAACCUGCCUUUAUCAGGGGGAUAGCCUUUCGAAAGGAAGAUUAAUACCCCAUAAUAUAUCAGAUGGCAUCAUUUGAUAUUGAAAACUACGGUGGAUAAAGAUGGGCACGCGCAGGAUUAGAUAGUUGGUAGGGUAACGGCCUACCAAGUCAACGAUCCUUAGGGGGCCUGAGAGGGUGAUCCCCCACACUGGUACUGAGACACGGACCAGACUCCUACGGGAGGCAGCAGUGAGGAAUAUUGGACAAUGGGUGAGAGCCUGAUCCAGCCAUCCCGCGUGAAGGACGACGGCCCUAUGGGUUGUAAACUUCUUUUGUAUAGGGAUAAACCUACUCUCGUGAGAGUAGCUGAAGGUACUAUACGAAUAAGCACCGGCUAACUCCGUGCCAGCAGCCGCGGUAAUACGGAGGGUGCAAGCGUUAUCCGGAUUUAUUGGGUUUAAAGGGUCCGUAGGCUGAUUUGUAAGUCAGUGGUGAAAUCUCACAGCUCAACUGUGAAACUGCCAUUGAUACUGCAAGUCUUGAGUGUUGUUGA
rnacentral:rRNA from 1 species